AUCGCGACCCCANGUCAGGCGGGACUACCCGCUGAGUUUAA
rnacentral:rRNA from 1 species